UUGUGCCAUUACUCACUUUUGCAACACUUUGAUCAUAAAUAUUUGAACCGAUAUUUAAGGAUAAACAUAUGCAUUACAUAAUUUAGUUCAAGCGAAAAUUAUUUUUUACUGUGGAGUCGAGCAGUAAUGGAUUUUUUUCCGCACACGUUGGGGUCGUUGCCUUCGAGAUUCUUCCAACACUUGAUUUUCAUUUCCUUCAUUUCCGGUUGGAAGCACAGUUGGCGAUUUAUUUGAAAAAAAUAAGGAAUAAAUAAAUAAAUAAAUAAAAAAAACGCCAACUGUGCUGGCGAUUUUAAGAAAAAAAAGAAAAAAAGAAAAGAAAACGCCAACAUGGUUGACGAUUUAUUUAAAAAACAAAAACAAAAACGCCAAUAGCAUUGACGAUUCUUUUAAAAAGUAAAAAAGAAAAAAUAGAAUCGCCACUGACAGUGGCGAUUUAUACUAGUUUGGUAAAUAAAAAAAAAGUACUCCAAAACUGUAAUUUCUAAAAUAAUCUAUACCACUUGGAUACAAAAGCCAGCUUUAAAAGGACCCUUCUUUAAGCUUAGCAUUUUUUUCUUCAUAUUUUUAAUCUAAAAAAGUAAUUGUAAAUAACUGAUCUAUUGCAUGUGUUUUUUUAAGUCAUAAACCGCAAGUUUAGCGUACAAAAUAUAAUGAUAAAAUAUAUUUAAAUUAAGAAUAUCAGAUGACACCUUUUCAGUAUUAACAAAAAAAUCAGCUCAAGUAUUUGCAAGCUAACUCAAACUUUUGGGCAUAAAUGUAAAGUGAGUUUUAAUUUUUAACAUUAAAAAAACCCAACUUCUCUUUCUGCACAACUUUCCCUUUUCACAUUCUCUCUCUGCACGACUUCUCUCUCUUGUGUUUUUUUGGGCUCUAAAUUGAAUGAAUGAUUCUGUAACUAGCAAGUUCAGAGAACUUCAAUAAAAAUCUGAAUAGCAAGCGCUUGAAUUGAAAUCCAAGUUGUGUGAUCCAUUGUCUAAGGCAUGUUAGGAUCGCCAUUUUCACAAUUGCUGUAGUAAUCUUAGAGUCGUCCGAAAUUUUACAUGAUUGUCUAAGGCAUGUUAGGAGCGCCAUCUUAUUUCUAUGAUUUAAUAAUAAUUUUGGUAUUCCUUUAUUUGUUUAUAAUCAACAACAUAUUUUUAUUUGGCCUUUUAAUGGUGAUGGUGUUUAUUCUACUCGUUCAUGUUACAAUUUCAUUUUGCAACAAGAGAAUUCUUCUUCGGCCUCUUCCUCAUCAGGGGUCUCUUCGUCGUCAGGGAAUGGAUAUGGAUCCCUCUUGUCCUCUUUAUGGUGUUGAGUGUGAGACUGCAUCUCGUGCUCUGGUUGUUUUCCCCAAUUAACAGAUUUGGUUCGGAUCUUCCCUUAGAAUUCGGUUGUAGGGCUCUAUGGAGUUAUCAUUUGAUCAACUUUUUCACAGGUUCUUGCAGGAUGUGGAUGAUGUGGCUUUCUAGUCCUUUAUUAAUUACUAUGGCUUACUGUAUAUGGGAAAGGAGAACAAGUGUGAUUUUUAGCAUGUGCGACUUCUUAUUGAGUUGGUGUUCCAAAGAGCUCAUAGCCUUUGGCCUCCUCCUGGUCUGUGAGCUUUGGCAAGGGAGAUCAUCCACAUCGAGGUUUAUUGGAGGAGGCCACUGAAGGGGAUUAUAAAGAUCAAUUUUGAUGCUUCCAUGACUAAUUUUCAUAUUAUGAGAUUUGGCUUCAUAGUGAGGGAUCAUGUUAGUGAAGUGUUAGUGGCGGCCAUUGCUUCUCUGUUUGAUGUCCUCUCACCAGUGAUUGUGGAUGCUUUGUGUUUGUGAAAGUUUAUGUCUCUAGCUACAAAUCUGAGUUUUUUAAGGGUGAGUUUUGAGACAUUAUUUACUACUUUUUUGUAGGUCUCAUCUUUACUCUGUGGUUCGUGAUAGUCACAACCUUGCUAUUGCUUGCGAUUAUGUGGAGGUUUCCUUUGUGCGUAGAGGUGGAAAUAUUGUUUCUGACUCCCUAGAUAAUUAAAAAGACGUUUACUUAUGGUCA